rnacentral:rRNA from 1 species
AGAGUUUGAUCCUGGCUCAGAACGAACGCUGGCGGCGUGGAUUAGGCAUGCAAGUCAAACGAGAAAGCUUCCUUCGGGAAGUGAUUAAAGUGGCGAAAGGGUGAGUAAUGUAUGGAUAACUUACCCUCGAGACGGGGACAACAGCUCGAAAGGGCUGCUAAUACCCGAUAGUUCCUGUUGCUUACGGGCUUCAGGAUAAAUGGUGCUUCCGCUCGAGGAGAGGUCAUAUCCUAUCAGCUUGUUGGUGGGGUAAGAGCCUACCAAGGCGAUGACGGGUAGCCGGACUGAGAGGUUGGCCGGCCACACUGGGACUGAGACACUGCCCAGACUCCUACGGGAGGCUGCAGUCGAGAAUCUUCCGCAAUGGGCGAAAGCCUGACGGAGCGACGCCGCGUGCAGGAGGACGGCCCUCGGGUUGUAAACUGCUGUCACACGUUAAGAAACGUUAUGUUUGAUCAUGACUUGACAAAAGCGUGAGAGGAAGUCACGGCUAACUUCGUGCCAGCAGCCGCGGUAAGACGAAGGUGGCAAGCGUUGUUCGGAAUUACUGGGCAUAAAGCGCGCGUAGGUGGCUUGGUAUGUCAAUGGUGAAAUCCCGUGGCUCAACCAUGGAACUGCCGUUGAAACUGCCUUGCUUGAGUACAGGAGGGGAGAGUGGAAUUCCUAGUGUAGCGGUGAAAUGCGUAGAUAUUAGGAGGAACGCCGGAGGCGAAAGCGACUCUCUGGACUGUUACUGACACUGAGGCGCGAAAGCUAGGGGAGCAAACAGGAUUAGAUACCCUGGUAGUCCUAGCCGUAAACGAUGGGCACUAGAUGGAGGGAGUUCCGAUGCUUUCUCUGUCGAAGCUAAUGCGAUAAGUGCCCCGCCUGGGGAGUAUGGUCGCAAGGCUAAAACUCAAAGGAAUUGACGGGGACUCACACAAGCGGUGGAGCAUGUGGUUUAAUUCGAAGCAACGCGCAGAACCUUACCCGGGUUUGAAAUGCAGGGAUUAACCUUCUGAAAAGAGGGGGAUUGCCUUUGGUGUAACCUGCGCAGGUGUUGCAUGGCUGUCGUCAGCUCGCGUCGUGAGAUGUCGGGUUAAGUCCCUUAACGAGCGAAACCCUUAUCUUUAGUUGCCAGCGGGUAAUGCCGGGGACUCUAGAGAGACUGCCGUUGUUAAAACGGAGGAAGGUGGGGACGACGUCAAGUCAUCAUGGCCUUUAUGUCCGGGGCUACACACGUGCUACAAUGGCCGGUGUAAAGUGAAGCAAGACCGCAAGGUGGAGCAAAUCACACAAAGCCGGUCCCAGUCCGGAUUGGGGGCUGCAAUUCGCCCCCAUGAAGUCGGAAUCGCUAGUAAUCGCGGAUCAGCCAUGCCGCGGUGAAUAUGUUCCUGAGUCUUGUACACACCGCCCGUCAAGCCACGAAAGCUGGUAGUACCUUAAGUCGUGUACCUAACCUUCGGGAGGGAAGCGCCCACGGUAAAACUAGUGAUUGGGACUAAGUCGUAACAAGGUA